rnacentral:rRNA from 1 species
GUGGGGAAUAUUGCGCAAUGGGCGGAAGCCUGACGCAGCGACGCCGCGUGGGGGAUGACGGCCUUCGGGUUGUAAACCUCUUUCAGCAGGGACGAACCUGACGGUACCUGCAGAAGAAGCACCGGCCAACUACGUGCCAGCAGCCGCGGUAAUACGUAGGGUGCAAGCGUUGUCCGGAAUUAUUGGGCGUAAAGAGCUCGUAGGCGGUCUGUCGCGUCGGCUGUGAAAACUCGGGGCUCAACCCCGGGCCUGCAGUCGAUACGGGCAGACUAGAGUUCGGUAGGGGAGACUGGAAUUCCUGGUGUAGCGGUGAAAUGCGCAGAUAUCAGGAGGAACACCGGUGGCGAAGGCGGGUCUCUGGGCCGAUACUGACGCUGAGGAGCGAAAGCGUGGGGAGCGAACAGG